GAUGAAGAACGUAGCGAAAUGCGAUAAGUAAUGUGAAUUGCAGAAUUCAGUGAAUCAUCGAAUCUUUGAACGCACAUUGCGCCCGCCAGUAUUCUGGCGGGCAUGCCUGUUCGAGCGACAUUACAACCCUCAGGCCCCCGGGCCUGGCGUUGGGGAUCGGCGGAGCCCCCCGUGGGCACACGCCGUCCCCCAAAUGCAGUGGCGGUCCCGCCGCAGCUUCCAUCGCGUAGUAGCUAACACCUCGCGACUGGAGAGCGGCGCGGCCACGCCGUAAAACACCCAACUCUUCUGAAGUUGACCUCGAAUCAGGUAGGAAUACCCGCUGAACUUAAGCAUAUCAAUAAGCGGAGGA
rnacentral:misc_RNA from 1 species